rnacentral:rRNA from 1 species
ACUCCUACGGGAGGCAGCAGUGGGGAAUAUUGCACAAUGGGGGAAACCCUGAUGCAGCCAUGCCGCGUGUGUGAAGAAGGCCUUCGGUUGUAAGCACUUUCAGUAGGGAGGAAGGUAGUGUAGUUAACACCUGCAUUAUUUGACGUUACCUACAGAAGAAGCACCGGCUAACUCCGUGCCAGCAGCCGCGGUAAUACGGAGGGUGCGAGCGUUAAUCGGAAUUACUGGGCGUAAAGCGCAUGCAGGCGGCCUGUUAAGUCAGAUGUGAAAGCCCGGGGCUUAACCUCGGAAUUGCAUUUGAAACUGGCAGGCUAGAGUCUUGUAGAGGGGGGUAGAAUUUCAGGUGUAGCGGUGAAAUGCGUAGAGAUCUG